GUGCUCGCUUCGGCAGCACAUAUACUAAAAAAACAUGAAACAACACGAAG
rnacentral:snRNA from 1 species